UUCCAUAUAUUUCAUAUAUUCUUUAUGAUCUUGAGGAAGCUUCUUAUAAAGCCAUUUAGGAGAUGGCAAUUGGCCCAGGAAAAAGUUUUCUUAAUUGUAUUCAUUCUUACCCAUUGGAUGAAUUUAAUCAUCUAGAUAAAAGUGAGUAAUCUUUUUAUUACUUAAGAUAUCGUUUAUAAAUUGUCUUCUAGCUUGCAUUUCCUCAACCGAUCUUAUUUUAAAAUAUCUAUUAAACUCAGUUGAACUCUCAGGUUCUUCAUAAAUUUUCAUAUAAUCAUCAUCACUUUCAUCUUUUUCAUUAUCCAGAUUCAUAUAAUCAUCAUCACUUUCAUCUUUUUCAUUAUCCAGAUUCAUAUGAUCAUCAUCAUUUUCAUUUUUUUCAUUAUCCUCAUUCAAAUGAUCAUCAU